rnacentral:sRNA from 1 species
GUGAAGUUAAUCACAAGCAAACACAUACCCCUUUGUUUGACCGUGAAAAAUUUCUCCCAUCCCCUUUGUUCGUUUGAAAAGACCCUUUGCAUAAUGCAAAGGGUCUUU